rnacentral:rRNA from 1 species
GACGAACGCUGGCGGCGUGCUUAACACAUGCAAGUCGAACGGAAAGGCCCUGCUUUUGUGGGGUGCUCGAGUGGCGAACGGGUGAGUAACACGUGAGUAACCUGCCCUUGACUUUGGGAUAACUUCAGGAAACUGGGGCUAAUACCGGAUAGGAGCUCCUGCUGCAUGGUGGGGGUUGGAAAGUUUCGGCGGUUGGGGAUGGACUCGCGGCUUAUCAGCUUGUUGGUGGGGUAGUGGCUUACCAAGGCUUUGACGGGUAGCCGGCCUGAGAGGGUGACCGGCCACAUUAGGACUGAGAUACGGCCCAGACUCCUACGGGAGGCAGCAGUGGGGAAUCUUGCACAAUGAGCGGGAGCCUGAUGCAGCAACGCCGCGUGCGGGAUGACGGCCUUCGGGUUGUAAACCGCUUUCGCCUGUGACGAAGCGUGAGUGACGGUAAUGGGUAAAGAAGCACCGGCUAACUACGUG